rnacentral:rRNA from 1 species
AGUGAACGCUGGCGGUAGGCCUAACACAUGCAAGUCGAACGGCAGCACAGUAAGAGCUUGCUCUUACGGGUGGCGAGUGGCGGACGGGUGAGGAAUACAUCGGAAUCUACUUUUUCGUGGGGGAUAACGUAGGUAAACUUACGCUAAUACCGCAUACGACCUACGGGUGAAAGCAGGGGAUCUUCGGACCUUGCGCGAUUGAAUGAGCCGAUGUCGGAUUAGCUAGUUGGCGGGGUAAAGGCCCACCAAGGCGACGAUCCGUAGCUGGUCUGAGAGGAGGAUAAGCCACACUGGAACGGAGACACGGUCAAGACGCCUACGGGAGGCAGCAGUGGGGAAUAUUGGACAAUGGGCGCAAGCAUGAUCCAGCCAGACCGCGUGGGUGAAGAAGGCCUUCGGGUUGUAAAGCCCUUUUGUUGGGAAAGAAAAGCAGCAGGUUAAUACCCCGCUGUUCUGACGGUACCCAAAGAAUAAGCACCGGCUAACUUCGUG